rnacentral:misc_RNA from 1 species
AACGCAAAUUGCACUCUCUGGCAACCCGGGGAGUAUGCCUGUUUGAGGGUCAGUGUUAAUAAAAAUCGGUGCGUCGCAAUUUUUUUUGUGAUGUUUCCGGAGUUUGAGUUAUCUUAAACUCUUCUGGAUUUUUAAGAGGCUUAAAAUUGACCUUUUUUGUGCAUUUUAGACGUACAUAAAUUUUUUUUUAUUCGUCUAUCUUAAUGCCAAAAUCUAUUAGAUGCGACCAUAUCAUGUUGGUUUUGUGUCUAUAAAUUUUUCAUGAUUUGACCUCAAAUCAGGUAGGAACACCCGCUGAACUUAA